rnacentral:rRNA from 1 species
UACGUAGGGGGCAAGCGUUGUCCGGAUUUAUUGGGCGUAAAGAGCGUGUAGGCGGCCAGGCAGGUCCGUUGUGAAAACUCGAGGCUCAACCUCGAGACGUCGAUGGAAACCGUCGGGCUAGAGUCCGGAAGAGGAGAGUGGAAUUCCUGGUGUAACGGUGAAAUGUGCAGAUAUCAGGAAGAACACCCGUGGCGAAAGCGGCUCUCUGGGACGGUACUGACGCUGAGACGCGAAAGCGUGGGGAGCAAACAG